ACGGGUGCGUAACGCGUGGGAAUCUGCCCUUGGGUUCGGAAUAACAGUUAGAAAUGACUGCUAAUACCGGAUGAUGACUUCGGUCCAAAGAUUUAUCGCCCAGGGAUGAGCCCGCGUCGGAUUAGCUAGUUGGUGAGGUAAAAGCUCACCAAGGCGACGAUCCGUAGCUGGUCUGAGAGGAUGAUCAGCCACACUGGGACUGAGACACGGCCCAGACUCCUACGGGAGGCAGCAGUGGGGAAUAUUGGACAAUGGGCGCAAGCCCGAUCCAGCAAUGCCGCGUGAGUGAUGAAGGCCUUAGGGUUGUAAAGCUCUUUUACCCGGGAUGAUAAUGACAGUACCGGGAGAAUAAGCCCCGGCUAACUCCGUGCCAGCAGCCGCGGUAAUACGGAGGGGGCUAGCGUUGUUCGGAAUUACUGGGCGUAAAGCGCACGUAGGCGGCUUUGUAAGUUAGAGGUGAAAGCCCGGGGCUCAACUCCGGAAUUGCCUUUAAGACUGCAUCGCUAGAAUUGUGGAGAGGUAAGUGGAAUUCCGAGUGUAGAGGUGAAAUUCGUAGA
rnacentral:rRNA from 1 species